rnacentral:rRNA from 1 species
UGCGCAGGCGGUGAUGUAAGACAGAUGUGAAAUCCCCGGGCUCAACCUGGGAACUGCAUUUGUGACUGCAUCGCUGGAGUGCGGCAGAGGGGGAUGGAAUUCCGCGUGUAGCAGUGAAAUGCGUAGAUAUGCGGAGGAACACCGAUGGCGAAGGCAAUCCCCUGGGCCUGCACUGACGCUCAUGCACGAAAACGUGGGGAGCAAACA